rnacentral:rRNA from 1 species
AUGGCGACCGGCGCACGGGUGAGUAACACGUAUCCAACCUGCCGAUAACUCGGGGAUAGCCUUUCGAAAGAAAGAUUAAUACCCGAUGGUAUAAUCAGACCGCAUGGUUUGAUUAUUAAAGAAUUUCGGUUAUCGAUGGGGAUGCGUUCCAUUAGGCAGUUGGUGAGGUAACGGCUCACCAAACCUUCGAUGGAUAGGGGUUCUGAGAGGAAGGUCCCUCACAUUGGAACUGAGACACGGUCCAA